AGUACUUAACCUACUCUUCUUUUACAGAGAGUAAUGUAACAUUUAUUGACAUUAUCUGUUGGUGUAAUGACACCAUUUGCCCUAAUGACUUAGUAAUAAAAUUAUUACUGUUAAAUUAUCCUUCAGGUAUGUCACAUGGAGCACUUAACUGAACAAACUUCGUUCUCAGCUAGAGUUUGAUGCAAGCUAUCGAACUGUUCACCAUUCCACCGCCUUACAGAACCACCCACUGUAACUGUUUUGAAGCCAUAGUUGCUUGCACCAUUCUCCCAGAGGUGGACUUGGGGAUGUAUUUGGGGGAGGAGUGAAACAGUCGGUCAGAACUAGUCGUACAGCAAAAAUUUGAGGCAGCCAUCUGGAGGUGGCAUUGAGGCAGCAACAACAUACAUCACAACCUGUCCGUGAUGCGUCCGGCACCAUCACCACAUACAGUUAAAUUGUUGGCUACCCUCACCACAUGUUGGGGGUAUCAGCGACUCCUUAGCAGCAUCCGGGCCCAUCAUGGACGCCGUCCAUGUGUGUUGGACCAUCACAGGUGCAUUGGUUAUGCAAUUUUGAUGUAAAAUUGAACCUGAAAACCUGCUAAAAUGUGGAUACCAGUGGAUAAAGCUCAAUGUGUGUGGCCUGGUAGAUAGAGACGAUAUCAGAUACCCAAGUGCAAUGAUCCUUUUGGACUUGGAAUACAUCAUUUAUGGAAACAGGUCAUGCAAUUUUGAUGCGAAAUGGAACCUGAAAACCUGAAAAAAUGUGGAUGCUACUGGAUAAAGCUCAGUGUGUGUGACCUGGGAGAUACAGACGAUAUCAGAUACCCAAGUGCAAUGAUCCUUUGGGACUUGGAAUACAUCAUUUAUGGAAACAGGUAGUGUUCUCCAUAAAAAGGCGCUGGUCACCCAUUGGUUUCAGAUGCCAAUGUGGACAGGGUACGGCAGGUGUUCGCAAGGAGUUCUAUAAAAUCGGCAUGUAUGGCAGCCAGAGCGUUGGAAAUGAGAAGAUCGACAUUGCACAAUGUCAUGCAUAAGAGGAGUUCGUGUCACAUAUACAGCACUUGACACUGCUUGUGAGAAAACAUUAUUAAUCAGUAUUGAUGGUCAACUCGGUCCCUAGCAUCCACUAGUGGGCAUCUCCACUUCCAUAGCAGGCAGUAGACAGUUGGACCCUAAAAUAUUUAUAUUAGGGUUUCACAAAACUUUGAAAAAAAUAUUUGCAUGCCAGGAAGGAAAGCUUGGCCGGAAUAGGAGAAAAAGUGAGGAAAGUGGUGUCUGGUGUGCCGAACGAGGAAUGUGAAGCAUGCUGAGCCUCCUUAAGUUUGCAUUAUUCAGCUGAACUCGAAAAGGUGUGGGGAAAAAAUGCGCAGUAACUCAGGUGGCACCCAUAAACCAAGCGUGUGGUAGUUUGACCUAUUGGUGUAUUUGGAAGACGACAUAGCACAUUGAAAACUGCUGACAAAUAUCCCACUAUAUGUUUACUCAAGAGACAUUUACAGUGGGGUGUGCAGUUGAGAACAGUUCUCCAUCUACUCCUCAGUGCUCACCAGAAUUAUCCAAAGUGGGGCACUAUGCCAAUUCAAAGAAGCAGGCCAAAGAUGUCCUGGUAAGCAGCACAUUGUCAAUGCUGCGAGGCAAACAAACAGCAAUGAGGAUGGCAAGUUGAGCCAAUAUGUUGCAGCUGAGGGGAUUACAACUAAAAAUAGAAAAUUGAAGGCAGAGACAAAGUGCCUUAUCACGAAUGCCACCAUGGGUGCAAUUCAGAA